GGUGAUAACCCCGGCGAGGAGUCAAACGUCAUCUUGUUCCUUCGACAAUGGAACGUCGUCUCAACACUUCAUACAUACAUACAUCCAACAAUGUCCCACAAGAACAGAGGAUUGACAAUCCCGAGUGACUAUUACAUGUGACAGUACUUUGGAUAGAAUUUGAAGCUUGAAGACCAUGGGCAUAGACCCCUCUUCCUGACUUCGUAUAACCUCUAAUCCAUGUUAUUGCGUAACUUUCGACACAAGCGGUCCAAAGAAGGUCAGAUAUACCUCAUUCGGAUGCUCGGAUUGAAUUUCUGCAAGUUUGAGCGGACAUUAUAGUGUAUGAGUGCAUGUACUACGAGACGACGGGACCUACGAGGCUCAGAUGCAUCACGACCAGUCGCAGGUACAACUGCGGCUGCCGCAUGUGUACCUGCGGCCAUCCGUCUAUACAUACAAGCCUUGGGGUCAGCCAUUUGAGAAGAAGAGGGAGGGAAAAGGUGAGAAAGCCCUGUCUAUUUUAC
rnacentral:lncRNA from 1 species